rnacentral:rRNA from 1 species
UCGAUUCCCUUAGUAGCGGCGAGCGAAACGGGAAGAGCCCAAACCAACAAGCUUGCUUGUUGGGGUUGUAGGACACUCUAUACGGAGUUACAAAGGACGACAUUAGACGAAUCAUCUGGAAAGAUGAAUCAAAGAAGGUAAUAAUCCUGUAGUCGAAAAUGUUGUCUCUCUUGAGUGGAUCCUGAGUACGACGGAGCACGUGAAAUUCCGUCGGAAUCUGGGAGGACCAUCUCCUAAGGCUAAAUACUCUCUAGUGACCGAUAGUGAACCAGUACCGUGAGGGAAAGGUGAAAAGCACCCCGGAAGGGGAGUGAAAUAGAACCUGAAACCGUGUGCUUACAAGUAGUCAGAGCCCGUUAAUGGGUGAUGGCGUGCCUUUUGUAGAAUGAACCGGCGAGUUACGAUUUGAUGCAAGGUUAAGCAGUAAAUGUGGAGCCGUAGCGAAAGCGAGUCUGAAUAGGGCGUUUAGUAUUUGGUCGUAGACCCGAAACCAGGUGAUCUACCCUUGGUCAGGUUGAAGUUCAGGUAACACUGAAUGGAGGACCGAACCGACUUACGUUGAAAAGUGAGCGGAUGAACUGAGGGUAGCGGAGAAAUUCCAAUCGAACCUGGAGAUAGCUGGUUCUCUCCGAAAUAGCUUUAGGGCUAGCCUCAAGUGAUGAUUAUUGGAGGUAGAGCACUGUUUGGACGAGGGGCCCCUCUCGGGUUACCGAAUUCAGACAAACUCCGAAUGCCAAUUAAUUUAACUUGGGAGUCAGAA